AUACGGAGGGUGCAAGCGUUACUCGGAAUCACUGGGCGUAAAGCGCGCGCAGGCGGCUUGAUAAGUUGGAUGUGAAAGCCUACGGCUCAACCGUAGAACUGCAUCCAAAACUGUCAGGCUAGAGUCUGGGAGGGGAAGAUGGAAUUAGUUGUGUAGGGGUAAAAUCCGUAGAGAUAACUAGGAAUACCAAAAGCGAAGGCGAUCUUCUGGAACAGUACUGACGCUGAGGCGCGAAAGCGUGGGGAGCAAACAGGAUUAGAAACCCCAGUAGUCC
rnacentral:rRNA from 1 species